rnacentral:rRNA from 1 species
GACGAACGCUGGCGGCGUGCUUAACACAUGCAAGUCGAACGCUGAAGCUCAGCUUUUGUUGGGUGGAUGAGUGGCGAACGGGUGAGUAACACGUGAGUAACCUGCCCCCUUCUUUGGGAUAACGCCCGGAAACGGGUGCUAAUACUGGAUAUUCACUGGUCUUCGCAUGGGGGUUGGUGGAAAGGGUUUUUCUGGUGGGGGAUGGGCUCGCGGCCUAUCAGCUUGUUGGUGGGGUGAUGGCCUACCAAGGCUUUGACGGGUAGCCGGCCUGAGAGGGUGACCGGUCACAUUGGGACUGAGGUACGGCCCAGACUCCUACGGGAGGCAGCAGUGGGGAAGAUUGCACAAUGGGCGCAAGCCUGAUGCAGCGACGCCGCGUGAGGGAUGGAGGCCUUCGGGUUGUGAACCUCUUUCGCUCAUGGUCAAGCCGCAACAAUGGUUGUGGUGAGGGUAGUGGGUAAAGAAGCGCCGGCUAACUACGUG